rnacentral:rRNA from 1 species
CCUACGGGAGGCAGCAGUGAGGAAUAUUGGUCAAUGGACGAGAGUCUGAACCAGCCAAGUAGCGUGAAGGAUGACUGCCCUAUGGGUUGUAAACUUCUUUUAUAUGGGAAUAAAAUGUUCCACGUGUGGGAUUUUGUAUGUACCAUAUGAAUAAGGAUCGGCUAACUCCGUGCCAGCAGCCGCGGUAAUACGGAGGAUCCGAGCGUUAUCCGGAUUUAUUGGGUUUAAAGGGUGCGUAGGUGGAUUGUUAAGUCAGUUGUGAAAGGUUGCGGCUCAACCCGAAAAUUGCAGUUGAAACUGGCAGUCUUGAGAACAGUAGAGGUAGGCGGAAUGCGUGGUGUAGCGGUGAAAUGCUUAGAUAUCACGAAGAACUCCGAUUGCGAAGGCAGCUCACUGGACUGCAACUGACACUGAGGCUCGAAAGUGUGGGUAUCAAACAGGAUUAGAUACCCCAGUAGUC